rnacentral:lncRNA from 13 species
UGUAACUUUUAUAUAUUUUAUUUUAUUUUUUGCUUUUUCAUAUUUUAAAUUAUAUUUAUAUAUGUUAGCCCUAGGAAUCCAAACAUUUAAAAUAUCAAUAAAUGGUGUUGGUUAGAUAGUUUAUGUUAAUGAGUUCAUUAUUGAUUAAUAUAAAAUAAUGUUUCAAAGUUUAUGAAUGAUACAAUUAAAAUGUACUAUUCUUUUUUUUUUUUUUUAAUAUCCACAGCUCAGUCCAUUUUUAAGGCAUACAGUUCUGAAGAGAACAUUUAAUGUAACUCUGCCAAAUUCUUUCUUGAUUGAUAAAGAAACCACUCCUACUCAAGAACAAAAAUCCAAACAAAAACUCCGAGGUGGCAAAAUGGAAAACAUCUUCAGGAAGACUCAGGAAGAUGGCACUGUAGGACCAACUCAGGAUUGCAGCUCCCAGUGAAACUGCAGAGGGUG